GCGGGGGUUGCCGAGCCUGGUCAAAGGUGCAGGGCUUAGGACCCUGUCUCGUAGGAGUUCCCGUGUUCAAAUCACGGCCCCCGCA
rnacentral:tRNA from 2 species